rnacentral:misc_RNA from 1 species
GCUGCCAAGGGUUUGCUCUGAUCUUCAGCUCGGACGACGCGAGCGACUGCGGCGGCGGCGACGGCGACGGCAACGACGAUGUCCGGCGGCGCCGGAGGGGGGAGCAAAGCGGCAGCGCCGGCGGCGGCAAUCCCCGCUGCGGCGAGGAAGAUCGUGCAGGGGCUCAAGGAGAUCGUCAACUGCCCCGAUGCCGAGAUCUAUGCCAUGCUCAAGGAGUGCGGC